rnacentral:lncRNA from 1 species
GGCCGUCGCUGACCGCCGGGGACCUGGUGCGAGGAUGAGCCGGGCGGGUCGGUGCAGAAGAGGCCGAGGCCCAUCCUGCCCAGGACAUGGAAGCUUCUGACGGUGAAUUUAAAUCCAAAGACAGUCGAGAUCUCGGUGACAGACAGAAGGAUGUGUGGUGGAAGCCGUGUCCGCGCCGCAGGGAGCUGCCGAGCCUCUGCUGCGUUCCCUGCUUGCGCCGGUGCUGCAGGGGGGAUGCGCUGGAUGAAGUCUGCGUGCUCCAAGCAGCUCGGUGCGUUUAUCCCUGGGAAGGUGUUUGUGGUACCGGUCUUCAGGGUCUGCAGAGCCUCAUCCCGUGCAAGCAGGGACGGAGGCUGGCAGUGGAGGUGCAGAGCAGCAGCGUGGGCGCCCAGCGCUGCCACACUGCAGAGUUCCCCGUGCCUCUGGCAGCCUGUCGCAGCCCGUCCCAGCCCUCGGCACGUGGCAACAGAGAGGGUUCAGGACUGGGGAUCAAAGCUUCCAAACAGCAAGGGCAUGGGAAACACAGGGGAGAGAGCUUAAGGUGGUUGGGAGGAAUCUGCUUUGCUCCCCGCCACCAGGUUUCUGGAAUUUUUCCUAAAGGGAGAUCAAGAGCAUGUAUUUUUUUUUUCUCUUCUGUUUUUAAUUGUGUAUUUUAA